GGUGAACGCUGGCGGUAGGCCUAACACAUGCAAGUCGAACGGCAGCACAGUAAGAGCUUGCUCUUACGGGUGGCGAGUGGCGGACGGGUGAGGAAUACAUCGGAAUCUACUUUUUCGUGGGGGAUAACGUAGGGAAACUUACGCUAAUACCGCAUACGACCUACGGGUGAAAGCAGGGGAUCUUCGGACCUUGCGCGAUUGAAUGAGCCGAUGUCGGAUUAGCUAGUUGGCGGGGUAAAGGCCCACCAAGGCGACGAUCCGUAGCUGGUCUGAGAGGAUGACCAGCCACACUGGAACUGAGACACGGUCCAGACUCCUACGGGAGGCAGCAGUGGGGAAUAUUGGACAAUGGGCGCAAGCCUGAUCCAGCCAUACCGCGUGGGUGAAGAAGGCCUUCGGGUUGUAAAGCCCUUUUGUUGGGAAAGAAAAGCAGCAGGUUAAUACCCCGCUGUUCUGACGGUACCCAAAGAAUAAGCACCGGCUAACUUCGUG
rnacentral:rRNA from 1 species